rnacentral:rRNA from 1 species
GAUGAACGCUGGCGGCGUGCCUAAUACAUGCAAGUAGAACGCUGAAGGAGGAGCUUGCUCUUCUGGAUGAGUUGCGAACGGGUGAGUAACGCGUAGGUAACCUGCCUGGUAGCGGGGGAUAACUAUUGGAAACGAUAGCUAAUACCGCAUGACAACAGUUAUUGCAUGAUAACUGUUUAAAAGGGGCAACUGCUCCACUACCAGAUGGACCUGCUUUGUAUUAGCUAGUUGGUGAGGUAACGGGUCACCAAGGCGACGAUACAUAGCCGACCUGAGAGGGUGAGCGGCCACACUGGGAAUGAGAAACGGCCCAGGGGACGACGGGAGGGGGCAGUAGGGAGACGUUAGACAGGGACGGGAAUUGUAGCGGGAAAGGCCGAGGGAGGGGAAAAGGAUUUCGGAUCGUAAAGCUCGGUUGUAAGAGAAGAACGAGUGUGAGAGUGGAAAGUUCACACUGUGACGGUAACUUACCAGAAAGGGACGGCUAACUACGUG